UCUGUAGUUUGACUUUGGAUCUCACAGGUUAAUUGUGACAUUUGAGAUGUAAAAUUAGUUCAUGUUUUAUGUAUUAUGUUUUGAUGUAGGAAAACACGAGGAAUGGGAGCGGGUCGCAAGUUUGAAAUCCCACUGUAGAAAACAAAGGUAGGCUGACAAAGCAUACAAGAAAUCCCAUCUUGGAAACGAGUGGAAGAAGCCUUUUGCUAAAUCUUCCCAUACAAAAGGCACUGUUCUAGAAAAGAUAUGAAUGGAACAACUUCAUGGAGUGACUCAAUUGUAAAAAAGACAGUGAGAUAUGGGAAAAUGAAGAAAACAUAUUACACCUUCCUCAUUGGCAAAUUUAUUCCUCAAGUUGUUAAGCGUUGGGUGGAGAGGUAUGAAAAAGAUCCAAAAACUUCAAUGGUCGAGCUCCCGGAAAUGCUGUUUGAG